rnacentral:rRNA from 1 species
GCGAACGGGUGAGUAACACGUGAGUAACCUGCCCCUGACUUCGGGAUAAGCCCGGGAAACUGGGUCUAAUACCGGAUACGACUGCCGGACGCAUGUCUGGUGGUGGAAAGUUUUUUCGGUUGGGGAUGGGCUCGCGGCCUAUCAGUUUGUUGGUGAGGUAAUGGCUCACCAAGACGACGACGGGUAGCCGGCCUGAGAGGGCGACCGGCCACACUGGGACUGAGACACGGCCCAGACUCCUACGGGAGGCAGCAGUGGGGAAUAUUGCACAAUGGGGGAAACCCUGAUGCAGCGACGCAGCGUGCGGGAUGACGGCCUUCGGGUUGUAAACCGCUUUCAGCAGGGAAGAAGCGCAAGUGACGGUACCUGCAGAAGAAGUACCGGCUAACUACGUGCCAGCAGCCGCGGUAAUACGUAGGGUACGAGCGUUGUCCGGAAUUAUUGGGCGUAAAGAGCUCGUAGGUGGUUGGUCACGUCUGCUGUGGAAACGCAACGCUUAACGUUGCGCGUGCAGUGGGUACGGGCUGACUAGAGUGCAGUAGGGGAGUCUGGAAUUCCUGGUGUAGCGGUGAAAUGCGCAGAUAUCAGGAGGAACACCGGUGGCGAAGGCGGGACUCUGGGCUGUAACUGACACUGAGGAGCGAAAGCAUGGGGAGCGAACAGGAUUAGAUACCCUGGUAGUCCAUGCCGUAAACGUUGGG